ACUCGAGCAACAAGCCAGAGGACAGUGGGGAGGUUUAUUCAAACACUCUGGAUAGUUACCUGAUAUUUACAGUUAACAAAAAUCUCGGCAAAGACUACCAUGGCACAUGUGAUUCAUCUAUCAUUACUGCAGCUAGCAGUGAGCCUGCUGCCCUGUGUUUCAGCACCAGACUUUCCAAAUGGAGAAAUCAAAAUCACUCCCUGUGAUCUGUGCCCUGAUGGAUGGAUUAUUAAACAAAAUUGCAACUGCACAGUUGGCAAAUGGAUUUUGAAAUUUGAAUGUGGUGUGCCCAGUGUUAACCAAGUCACACUGGAAGCCACUAAACUCAGUAACCCUGGGACGAUUUCUGACACAUGUAUUGAAAUCACAUACACAACCAGCAGUUUUCUUUUGUCUAUGCAGGUAGAAGCUGGGUGUGUAAAGAUUUCUGGUGUUAAUAACAUUUGCAGAAGUUGCGACAGGAGAGUUACCUUUAGUCCUCCCAGCAACAAGGCAAUCAACUGUAUUUCAGGAAAAAAGAUACACAUCUCAGUGUCUAAGCCAGAUAAAAAAAAAGUUUUGCAAGAUGUUCAAGAAGUAUACGAUAUCAGUGACUGUAUAGAUG